AAUGGAAACACAUUGGGGAGCUACCUGCUAAAUAGGGUUCUAACUAGGUACUCUUUGGAAUGAUGGGAAUAAUGACGUCCGAAUUUUGUUUGUUUUAAUUUUGUCAUUUACAAAUUUCAGACAAACAGAAAUUUGAACAUUAACAAAUUUUAACUCAGUGAUCACAAUGGGCUUGUGAUGACGUAAUGCUGCACGCUACACUCCUACGUUGAAUGCAAUGCCGAGGAACUACGGGGAUCCGCCUUGCAAAACAGAUGUCUGAAGCAUGGUUAGGAGCGGUGAAUUAAAAUCUCCCACGUUGAAUACAAUGCUUAAGUACAACGGAGGUUUACCUCAUGGUAUUGGCAACUGAAAAGUGGUGAGCGGCAGUGACUACGAUGCCCCCAUUUUAUUAAGAGAAAACCGAGACUUGCAAAACAAGCUGCAAGUAAUUAAAAAGGCUAAGGUCACAGAAUUACAGCACACACACAAAAAAGUAUGAUUAAGUACUGACAACUUGAAAAAUCUUUGGGUGUGUUCUGUGGUCAGGAGAGAAGCCUGAGAGUAGUAUUAGGGGCAUAUGCAGAUGUUUAUACUCUGAGUAACCUAGAGGAAGGAAAAAUCUCCCAUAAAGACAAUAUUCGGUAUAAUACAAC